CCUACCACUUCCGGGCCCCCAGCCGCAUCUUCUGGCGGACCGUGCGAGGUAUGCUGCCCCACAAAACCAAGCGAGGCCAGGCCGCUCUGGACCGUCUCAAGGUGUUUGACGGCAUCCCACCGCCCUACGACAAGGUGAGCUGUGCCAAACCCCACAGGCAGCGGCCUUACCUGUGGCGUCUGUGAUGUUCCGCAACUACCUACAUUGUUUGAUCCUCAUGAAAGCAGCACUGGCUGAGACGCCAGUCCAGCCGACCUCCUUCCCUGUCUGUCCCUCCCGGGCUCUUAAGCCCCUCUCUUUCUCUAACAGAAAAAGCGGAUGGUGGUUCCUGCUGCCCUCAAGGUCGUGCGUCUGAAGCCUACAAGAAAGUUUGCCUAUCUGGGGCGCCUGGCUCACGAGGUUGGCUGGAAGUACCAGGCAGUGACAGCCACCCUGGAGGAGAAGAGGAAAGAGAAAGCCAAGAUCCACUACCGGAAGAAGAAACAGCUCAUGAGGCUACGGAAACAGGCCGAGAAGAACGU
rnacentral:sRNA from 1 species